GACAGUACAUGGGGGGGGGUAUAAAUAAGUGUCUGCUUCCACCCUGGGCUACACUUUGUAGGCUGCAGAGAAGAUCGCAAGAUGAAAACUCUGCUGCUGACCUUGGUGGUGGUGACAAUCGUGUGCCUGGACUUAGGUAAGGCCACCAAACUUUGAUCUUGGGU